UGGGGAAUAUUGCGCAAUGGGGGAAACCCUGACGCAGCAACGCCGCGUGAAGGAUGAAGGUCUUCGGAUUGUAAACUUUUGUCUUUGGGGAAGAAAAUAAAUAUGACGGUACCCAAGGAGGAAGCCACGGCUAACUACGUGCCAGCAGCCGCGGUAAUACGUAGGUGGCAAGCGUUGUCCGGAUUUACUGGGUGUAAAGGGCGUGUAGGCGGACCAAUAAGUCAGAUGUGAAAUGCCGAGGCUUAACCUCGGAGCUGCAUUUGAAACUAUUGGUCUUGAGUGUCGGAGAGGAAAGUGGAAUUCCUAGUGUAGCGGUGAAAUGCGUAGAUAUUAGGAGGAACACCGGUGGCGAAGGCGACUUUCUGGACGAUAACUGACGCUGAGGCGCGAAAGCGUGGGGAGCAAACA
rnacentral:rRNA from 1 species